rnacentral:lncRNA from 1 species
CUAAAAUUGUGGUAACUUCCCUCCAAAUCUCCUUUUUAAUUAAAAAUUAUACUUUUAUUUCUUGCACCAAGAAAUGUCCAAUUUUUGGAGUGGCCAGCAGUUAAAUUUCUGGCUGGUGCUAAACCACGACACUUUCACAUUUCCUGUUUGGCCUAAACAUGAUAUACUGUCUUUACUGUCUGUUACAGCCCAGACCCUUAAACUCAGGGGUUAAACUCAACGUCCCAUUAUUCUGUUUUAGCACAAAGAAAUCCACACUAUAUACUCUCAGGAGGUGAAAUUCACACAGAGGUUUACUAGCAAAAACAUAGAAGAUCAAGGACCUUCAGUAAAGGACAAAAUACAAUAUUGAAUUCAACAUGAAACACUUAUUACCACAUAACUCAGCAUUUACUUAAUAUUAACUUAGCAUAAAUUUAGCGAAUUCAACCCAGAAGACUUUAAAAUACUAAGAUGUUUUGCUACACAUAAAAGCUCCGUGAAAAGAGGAUUGAGACAAGAAGAGAGCAGAAAAACACACCUAGAGCUAUGAAUCCAGGAUCCUGGCUGCGGGCCCAGAGAGAAAAAAACCCCAGUGGCGGUCACAUCGAGGUCACCCGUUUUAUCACCUUGGGCCUGUGUGGGCCCGCCCUCUGGGUGGGACUUCUGGUGGUGUGACCAAUCAGAAGCUGGAUUACCUGCCAGUGCUAUGAUUGACAGCUCCCACAGUGCAGCCUGCCCUCCCAGCCACAGGCAUCGCCAUUCCAGGACUGUGGAAUAUCUGUUUUCUGACACUGCCUUUGACACUGCUGCAAAACCAAUCCCACCGCAGAAAUCUUUGUCAUACAGUCUACUGCAGUACAGAACUGCAUUGCUAAGGAUAAAUGUCCAAUUUGAAGACUUGGAUCUCACUUUAAAUUUGAGAGAAGCGAGAUAAAAGUUGUCAAAAAUUAGCAUAAAAAUCUCAGAAAACAAUAAUUGAAACCAGAAUUCCUACGCUGCUUCUGAAGAUUGAUAUCCUAUGACAAUGAGCUUUGAUAAAUCACUCUAACUGAGGAUCUAUUCUUAUGCUCUUUACAGAGUGUGUGUAAUAAAUCAAUAUACUGACAGAUUUAAGAAAACCUC